rnacentral:tRNA from 3 species
UAGAAUAAAGCUCGCUGGAUAGAGUGUUUAGCUGUUAACUAAAAGUUUACGGGAUCAAGGCCCGUUUUUCUAG